rnacentral:rRNA from 1 species
UACAGAGGGUGCAAGCGUUAAUCGGAAUUAUUGGGCGUAAAGCGCGCGUAGGCGGUUACUCAAGUCGGAUGUGAAAGCCCUCGGCUUAACUGAGGAAGUGCACCCGAAACUGAGUAGCUAGAGUACUAAAGAGGGUCGCGGAAUUCCCGGUGUAGAGGUGAAAUUCGUAGAUAUCGGGAGGGACACCGGUGGCGAAGGCGGCCGACUGGUCCGGUUCUGACGCUGAGGCGCGAAAGCGUGGGGAGCAAACAGG